rnacentral:lncRNA from 1 species
AGAACAUCACGUCUGCCGAGCUUCCUUGGUCCACCAGAACCUUGUGGACCUUUCUUCCUGCUGUGAUCAACGAGAUGACUAUGGGAUCGUUGUCAUGAGGCACAACGUCCCGGAGAUCUUGCUUGGUGAACGUAAUGUCCACAUCCGGCGAGUGGUCUUCAAACAUAUCCACCGUCAUCACAGACCUCGCGUACUUCUUCCUCUGUGAUGCGGUGCAUCCACCACCUGAGAAACCUCCUGCAAUGGUGUGGAUUUCUCCGUGGGUAGGCAUCUCGUGCUGCUGAG